UGACGAACGGCGGGAUCAACGUCGGCCU
rnacentral:sRNA from 1 species